rnacentral:rRNA from 1 species
GGCCACUGCUAUUAGGAUCCGACUUAGCCAUGUGAGGCGCUCGAAAUUAGAUUCGAGCCGGACUGCUCAGUAACACGUAGUUAACUUGCCCUUAGGUGGAGAAUAAUCCCGGGAAACUGGGGCUAAUACUCCAUAGGAAACAGGUAUUGGAAUAUCUUGUUUCUGAAAGUUCCGGCGCCUAAGGAUAGGACUGCGGUGGAUUAGGUUGUUGGUGAGGUAAAGUCUCACCGAGCCUAUAAUCCAUACGGGCAUUGAGAGAUGGAGCCCGGAGACGUGCUCUGAGACACGAGCACGGGCCCUAUGGGGCGCAGCAGGUGCGAAACCUUUACACUGCGUGAAAGCGUGAUAAGGGGAUCCUGAGUGCCCUCUCACUGAGGGGGCUUUUCUGAAGUGUAAAUAUCUUCAGGAAUAAGCAGCGGGUAAGACGGGUGCCAGCCGCCGCGGUAAUACCCGCGCUGCAAGUGGUGGCCACUAUUAUUGGGCCUAAAGCGUCCGUAGCCGGUCAAAUAAGUCCUUGGUGAAAUCCUAUGUAAAUCAUGGGACUUGCCAAGGAAACUAUUUGGCUAGGGACCGGGAGAAGUCGGAGGUACUCUUGGGGUAGGGGUAAAAUCCUAUCAUCCUGAGAGGACCACCUGUGGCGAAAGCGUCCGACUAGAACGGCUCCGACGGUGAGGGACGAAAGCUUGGGUCGCGACCCGGAUUAGAUACCCGGUUAGUCCAAGCCGUAAACAAUGCCCGUUUGGUGUAUCAUAUCCUAUGGGGAUAUGAUGUGCCGGAGCGUAGGUGUUAAACGGGCCGCCUGGGGAGUACGACCGCAAGGUCUAAACUUAAGGGAAUUGGCGGGGGGGCACCACAAGCGGUGGAGGCUGCGGUUU